rnacentral:rRNA from 2 species
UGGGCGUAAGGGCUCGCAGGCGGUUUCUUAGUCUGAUGUGAAAGCCCCCGGCUCAACCGGGGAGGGUCAUUGGAAACUGGGAAACUUGAGUGCAGAAGAGGAGAGUGGAAUUCCACGUGUAGCGGUGAAAUGCGUAGAGAUGUGGAGGAACACCAGUGGCGAAGGCGACUCUCUGGUCUGUAACUGACGCUGAGGAGCGAAAGCGUGGGGAGCGAACAGGAUUAGAUACCCUGGUAGUCCACGCCGUAAACGAUGAGUGCUAAKUGUUAGGGGGUUUCCGCCCCUUAGUGCUGCAGCUAACGCAUUAAGCACUCCGCCUGGSGAGUACGGUCGCAAGACUGAUACUCAAAGGAAUUGACRGGSGCCCGCMCAAGCGGGGGAUCCCUGGGGGUUUCAUAC